rnacentral:rRNA from 1 species
UGCGUAGGCGGGCUAAUAAGUCAGUGGUGAAAUAUUCCGGCUCAACCGGGAGACUGCCAUUGAUACUGUUAGUCUUGAGUUCGGCUGAGGUAGGCGGAAUGUGUAAUGUAGCGGUGAAAUGCUUAGAUGUUACACAGAACACCAAUUGCGUAGGCAGCUUACUAGACCGACACUGACGCUGAGGCACGAAAGCGUGGGGAGCGAACAGGAUUAGAUACCCUGGUAGUC